rnacentral:rRNA from 1 species
UUGGUUAAGUUAGAAAGGGCGCACGGUGGAUGCCUUGGCACUAGGAGCCGAAGAAGGACGGGACUAACACCGAUAUGCUUUGGGGAGCUGUACGUAAGCGUUGAUCCAGAGAUUUCCGAAUGGGGGAACCCACUAUCUUUAGUCGGAUAGUAUCCUUACGUGAAUACAUAGCGUGAGGAAGGCAGACCCAGGGAACUGAAACAUCUAAGUACCUGGAGGAAGAGAAAGAAAAAUCGAUUUCCUGAGUAGCGGCGAGCGAAACGGAAAGAGCCCAAACCAAGAAGCUUGCUUCUUGGGGUUGUAGGACACUCUAUACGGAGUUACAAAAGAAAGUUAUAAAUGAAGCGGUCUGGAAAGGCCCGCCAAAGACGGUAACAGCCCGGUAGUUGAAAUGGCUUUCCCUCCAGAGUGGAUCCUGAGUACGGCGGAACACGUGAAAUUCCGUCGGAAUCCGGGAGGACCAUCUCCCAAGGCUAAAUACUCCCUAGUGACCGAUAGUGAACCAGUACCGUGAGGGAAAGGUGAAAAGCACCCCGGAAGGGGAGUGAAACAGUUCCUGAAACCGUGUGCCUACAAGUAGUUAGAGCCCGUUAAUGGGUGAUAGCGUGCCUUUUGUAGAAUGAACCGGCGAGUUACGAUUUGUUGCAAGGUUAAGCGGAAAAAGCGGAGCCGUAGCGAAAGCGAGUCUGAAUAGGGCGCAUAAGUAACAGGUCGUAGACCCGAAACCAGGUGAUCUACCCAUGUCCAGGAUGAAGGUAAGGUAAUACUUACUGGAGGUCCGAACCCACGCACGUUGAAAAGUGCGGGGAUGAGGUGUGGGUAGCGGAGAAAUUCCAAUCGAACUUGGAGAUAGCUGGUUCUCUCCGAAAUAGCUUUAGGGCUAGCCUCGAGGUAAAGAGUCAUGGAGGUAGAGCACUGUUUGGACUAGGGGCCCUUCUCGGGUUACCGAAUUCAGAUAAACUCCGAAUGCCAUGUACUUAUAC